UGAAGCUGAUCUCAGUGCUGCAGGACUAGUGUAGACUCAGUUCAGUUUUGUGCUGUAUCCUUUAAAAAUGGUUCUGGGGAGACUGAGCGAAUUUUUAAAAGACCACCCGUGGAGUAGUUAUGCAAUAGUCAACCUUGUUGUCGUUGCUUUAGAAAAGCUUGUAGAGAACGACUUCGUGUGCCCCUGUAGACCUCAGUUUACAGAGGCAUUUUUCUCUUUAUACUUGUUGAUGCCCCUGCUUGUAACUCUGAACUUCAGCUUUUACAUGUGGAAAAGCUGGUCUGAUUCAGAACUUCCAGAACAACUGAAAUGUUGCCCAGGCUGGUGUAAAUGCUUUAUGAAGUUUCUGACCUGUGCUUUUCCAUCUUUUUUUUGGCUGGUCCUUUUUUCGGUGAUGGCAGAUUUGUGGCCUGUUUGAUCACUCAACUAAAAGAACAUCAUGUUGACAGCAUUGCACUGCCUCCGUGGGAAUGGUGUGACAGAAACCGAACACUGACUGAAAAGCAGGAUCAUGUACAGAUAUCAUUUUACAUAUCCAAGAUUUCAGUUUUUAGUGUCUUCUCCACCAUCCUGCUUCUAGCACUGAUUUUUCAGUGCUGUGCCAGAUGCUUUGCUAGAUGCUGUGCCAGAUACUGUGGCAGAAUCUGUAAUGGAUGCUACAUCAAAAGCUGUUGCAGAUGCUACAUCAGAUGCUGUAGCAGACAUUGUGGUGGUUGCUGUUGUGGAUGGUGUGAAGAAAAACUAGUCAGCAAAACAGAAGCGUUACACUCUUCAGUGCUCACAGUAUACUGUGUGAAAAAGCGCAUUGAGCAGCCUGUGAGCAAAAAAUACCGUCCCAGAGUCACGGAAGCAGAAAAGGUGGCUCUGUGUUCCGUCUCUGAUGGUACUACAGUUUAUCUGAUUACUCUUAAAGGAGAUCAGAUCUCUAAACUACAGGAGGGAAAGACUUACAUUAUAGAAAACGCCACAGUGAAGGACGACCAUCCAGUCCCUAAAUUGAGCCUGGAGAAAAAAAACUCACGGUUGUUCCGGACGGCUCCACUGCAGCUGGAUGAGAAAUUAAUCCGUAAAGCGCAAGAGAGCAUCGAUCCUUCUACAGAGAGAGCAGCUCUGAAUGAUCCAGCACUGUACCUGAAAAAGGGCUACAUAACCCUGACAGGAGAAGUUGUUUCACCGAUUCAGACAGACAUCCCUGUGAAAGAUAUUACGAUCAAGGAGGCUGGUGACACAGUGACAGUAUAUCUUACGAAGAAGCCAGCAACUGUAUCACUUGAGACAGGCCAGAAGAUUGAGAUCUCUCACGUCAAAGUGAAGAAAAACAAGAUAUUUGGAAAAAAACUGAUGGCGUCUUACUACACAGUUAUUUCUGAUAGUGAAGGAAGCCAUAUAAAGGUUAAGGGAUAUGAUACAGACAAUAAAGUUCUUCUGACAGAAGAAUGGAAGGAACUGAGUGUCCCCUCCAGUGUCUGGCAUGAAGAUCUUGACCAGCUGCUACAAACACUGCCAGCAGAGUUGAAAAUAACCAGAUGGGACCAAAAGGUUACAAAAGUGGAAAAGGCUCCUUUUGAAAAAUCUUCAGUGUACAGAGUACACUGUGUGGUAAAGCGCACUGUGCAGCGCACGAGCAAAUAUGACUUUUACAGAGACUCUGUAAGAGUCAGGGAGAGAGAAGAUGUGGCUCUGUGUUCCGUCUCUGAUGGUACUGCAGUUUAUCUGAUUACUCUUAAAGGGGAUCAGAUCUCUGAACUACAGGAGGGAGAGACUUACAUUAUAAACAACGCCACAGUGAAGGAGGACCGUCCAGUCCCUGAAAUGAUCCUGGGAAAUGAAACAGAAGUGUUCCGGAUGGAUCCACUGCAGCUGGAUGAGAAAUUAAUGCAUAAAGCGCAAGAGAGCAUCAAUCCUUCUUCAGAGAGAGCAGCUCUGAAUGAUCCAGCACUGUACCUGAAAAAGGGCUACAUAACCCUGACAGGAGAAGUUGUUUCACUAAGCGCUCCAAAGUGGAUUGAGGGAGACAUCCUUGCCCCUGUGAGAGAUGUUGAGAUCCAGGAGGCUGGUGUCACAAAGACACUCUCACUUCACAAGGAUGCAGCAACUGUGCCACUUGAGACAGGCCAGAUGAUUGAGAUCACUCACGUCAAAGUGGAGGAAAACGACACACAGGAACAAAAACUGAUGUCAUCUGACUACACAGUCAUUUCUCUAAGCGCUCCAAAGUGGAUUGAGGGAGACAUCCUUGCCCCUGUGAGAGAUGUUGAGAUCCAGGAGGCUGGUGUCACAAAGACACUCUCACUUCACAAGGAUGCAGCAACUGUGCCACUUGAGACAGGCCAGAUGAUUGAGAUCACUCACGUCAAAGUGGAGGAAAACGACACACAGGAACAAAAACUGAUGUCAUCUGACUACACAGUCAUUUCUGUACAACAGGGAAGCAGAGUUGAGGAAAGAAGAAGCCUCUUACAGCAUGAAGGACUUGCUACCUCAGAUGACAGCAAUUUUCUUUCAGCCAGAAGGGACCAAGACCUUAUAGAUAUGGAAAUUUUUAAAUUCUGAAUUGUAAAUGUGUUCUGCGCUGCACAUCAUGUUCAGCAUUGUUUCUUGAUGCUUUACCAACUUCUAUCCAUUUACAUUUACAGCAUUUAGCAGAUGCUCUUAUCCAGAGCGACUUACAAGAAGUGCUUUGCUUUGUACUCUCCAGUCUUACACUUGUUCUUUUUUUAACCAAAAAUAUUGUUGUAAAUUAUUUCUAAAUUGAAUUAAUCAUUUCUGUAUGUUCAUUUCCUUUUGCCUGAUGUCAGCUGGGAUAGGCUCCAGCAACCCCCACAACCCAGAAGGAGAAGCGGCUUAGAAGCUAAGGUCACUCUGUAUUGCGUGGAACGCAACAUCACUACUUGUGGUGAUCCAAAGAAGACAAGUUCUCAGCUUUCCUUCUGCGCCAGAGCCAUCAUGAGCGUCAGUCCAUUCCUCACCUGUCCAGAUGAUUCCGGUGGACCCCUUCUGAGGAGAGAAGGCUCUGCUGAUGUCAUAUAUGGAGUGAAGAUCUCAGAUGACAACUUCAUGGACGUCUGUGCUGAUGCUGUCUGGCAGUGGAUUCAUGAGACCAUUAAUGAAGGAUAAACCAGCUGGAUCUGAACUCUUGAAGACGAUGCCAUUACAGGCAUAAUGGCUUCCUGCUCCUGGAGGAACAUUUACAUAUUUACACCUACAUGUCUUCUGAGUUUGAAUACAGAAAGUUGAUGAUGAUAUA